rnacentral:rRNA from 1 species
UCGGCUUAGAGUUUGAUCAUGGCUCAGGAUGAACGCUGGCGGCGUGCCUAAUACAUGCAAGUCGAACGAAACUUCUUUAUCACCGAGUGCUUGCACUCACCGAUAAAGAGUUGAGUGGCGAACGGGUGAGUAACACGUGGGCAACCUGCCCAAAAGAGGGGGAUAACACUUGGAAACAGGUGCUAAUACCGCAUAACCAUAGUUACCGCAUGGUAACUAUGUAAAAGGUGGCUAUGCUACCGCUUUUGGAUGGGCCCGCGGCGCAUUAGCUAGUUGGUGAGGUAAAGGCUUACCAAGGCAAUGAUGCGUAGCCGAACUGAGAGGUUGAUCGGCCACAUUGGGACUGAGACACGGCCCAAACUCCUACGGGAGGCAGCAGUAGGGAAUCUUCCACAAUGGGCGAAAGCCUGAUGGAGCAACGCCGCGUGGGUGAAGAAGGUCUUCGGAUCGUAAAACCCUGUUGUUAGAGAAGAAAGUGCGUGAGAGUAACUGUUCACGUUUCGACGGUAUCUAACCAGAAAGCCACGGCUAACUACGUGCCAGCAGCCGCGGUAAUACGUAGGUGGCAAGCGUUAUCCGGAUUUAUUGGGCGUAAAGGGAACGCAGGCGGUCUUUUAAGUCUGAUGUGAAAGCCUUCGGCUUAACCGGAGUAGUGCAUUGGAAACUGGGAGACUUGAGUGCAGAAGAGGAGAGUGGAACUCCAUGUGUAGCGGUGAAAUGCGUAGAUAUAUGGAAGAACACCAGUGGCGAAAGCGGCUCUCUGGUCUGUAACUGACGCUGAGGUUCGAAAGCGUGGGAGCAAACAGAUU